UACGAAGGGGGCUAGCGUUGCUCGGAAUCACUGGGCGUAAAGGGUGCGUAGGCGGGUCUUUAAGUCAGGGGUGAAAUCCUGGAGCUCAACUCCAGAACUGCCUUUGAUACUGAAGAUCUUGAGUUCGGGAGAGGUGAGUGGAACUGCGAGUGUAGAGGUGAAAUUGUAGAUAUUCGCAAGAACACCAGUGGCGAAGGCGGCUCACUGGCCCGAUACUGACGCUGAGGCACGAAAGCGUGGGGAGCAAACAGGG
rnacentral:rRNA from 1 species